rnacentral:rRNA from 1 species
UACGUAAGUGGCGAGCGUUGUCCGGAAUUACUGGGCGUAAAGGGCAGGUAGGCGGCCCGAAAAGUCUGAGGUGAAAUCCCAGGGCUUAACCCUGGAACUGCCUUGGAAACUGUCGGGCUGGAGGGCCAGAGGGGAAAGUGGAAUUCCGGGUGUAGCGGUGAAAUGCGUAGAUAUCCGGGAGAACACCAAUGGCGAAGGCAGCUUUCUGGCUGGUACCUGACGCUGAACUGCGAAAGCUAGGGGAGCGAACGGG